UAUACAACUUAUUAUCUUAAUAAUUUUCAUUGACUUUUAUACUAUAAAUUUAUUGUUGUGAUAACAUAUUUUGAAACCCAUAGUGAUAUAAUGAAGACGUUGCUUUUCUGUAUAUUGUUUCUUUAUUUUUUAUUUUUACAUUGAUUCAUUUUUUUUCAUUAUUUAACUCUCUAGAUGUACAUUUUUGAAAAUCUCAUUCAAAAUGUUUAUGCUCUUUUUCUGUCACAGCUCCAAACAUUGUUUUCAUUGUUUCCAUAUCUAGAAAAGAAAGAUUUCUCAAGAUGCUGUGAUAUCAUGGCUUACAUAUCAGUACUGUAAGCCAUUAAUUGCACAGCACUCCAUUCAUACUUAUUCAAUUGUGUUUCUCUUU